UCGUGUUGUGAAAUGUUGGGUUAAGUCCCGCAACGAGUGCAACCCUUAUCCUUUGUUGCCAGCACGUUAUGGUGGGAACUCAAAGGAGACUGCCGGUGAUAAACCGGAGGAAGGUGGGGAUGACGUCAAGUCAUCAUGGCCCUUAUGAGUAGGGCUACACACGUGCUACAAUGGCGUAUACAAAGAGAAGCGACCUCGCGAGAGCAAGCGGAACUCAUAAAGUACGUCGUAGUCCGGAUUGGAGUCUGCAACUCGACUCCAUGAAGUCGGAAUCGCUAGUAAUCGUAGAUCAGAAUGCUACGGUGAAUACGUUCCCGGGCCUUGUACACACCGCCCGUCACACCAUGGGAGUGGGUUGCAAAAGAAGUAGGUAGCUUAACCUUCGGGAGGGCGCUUACCACUUUGUGAUUCAUGACUGGGGUGAAGUCGUAACAAGGUAACCA
rnacentral:rRNA from 1 species